rnacentral:rRNA from 1 species
GACGAACGCUGGCGGCGUGCCUAAUACAUGCAAGUCGAGCGAAUUUUUGGGAGCUUGCUCCCAAAAGUUAGCGGCGGACGGGUGAGUAACACGUGGGCAACCUGCCUAUAAGACUGGGAUAACUUCGGGAAACCGGAGCUAAUACCGGAUAAUUCAUAUCUACUCAUGUAGGUAUGCUGAAAGACGGUUUACGCUGUCACUUAUAGAUGGGCCCGCGGCGCAUUAGCUAGUUGGUGAGGUAACGGCUCACCAAGGCAACGAUGCGUAGCCGACCUGAGAGGGUGAUCGGCCACACUGGGACUGAGACACGGCCCAGACUCCUACGGGAGGCAGCAGUAGGGAAUCUUCCGCAAUGGACGAAAGUCUGACGGAGCAACGCCGCGUGAGUGAUGAAGGUUUUCGGAUCGUAAAACUCUGUUGUUAGGGAAGAACAAGUACUAGAGUAACUGCUAGUACCUUGACGGUACCUAACCAGAAAGCCACGGCUAACUACGUGCCAGCCGCCGCCGUAACAC